UACGUAGGGUGCGAGCGUUAAUCGGAAUUACUGGGCGUAAAGCGUGCGUAGGCGGUCCCGCAAGUCCGCUGUGAAAGCCCCGGGCUCAACCUGGGAAUUGCAUUGGAAACUAGCGGGCUGGAGUGUGGCAGAGGGGGGUGGAAUUCCACGUGUAGCAGUGAAAUGCGUAGAGAUGUGGAGGAACACCGAUGGCGAAGGCAGCCCCCUGGGCUAACACUGACGCUCAUGCACGAAAGCGUGGGGAGCAAACAGG
rnacentral:rRNA from 1 species